GGAACGCAGUGACUGGUGCUGCACGGGUGUCUUCUGCUCGUUUUGUGAAAUGUUGGGUUAAGUCCCGCAACGAGCGCAACCCCUAUUGAUAGUUACCAUCUUUAAGUUGGGUACUCUAUUAAGACUGCCGCUGACAAGGCGGAGGAAGGUGGGGACGACGUCAAGUCAUAAUGGCCCUUUCGACCAGGGCUACACACGUGCUACAAUGGGUAUUACAGAGGGCUGCGAAGGUG
rnacentral:rRNA from 1 species